rnacentral:rRNA from 1 species
GAUGAACGCUGGCGGCGUGCCUAAUACAUGCAAGUCGAGCGAACAGAUAAGGAGCUUGCUCCUUUGACGUUAGCGGCGGACGGGUGAGUAACACGUGGGUAACCUACCUAUAAGACUGGAAUAACUCCGGGAAACCGGGGCUAAUGCCGGAUAACAUUUAGAACCGCAUGGUUCUAAAGUGAAAGAUGGUUUUGCUAUCACUUAUAGAUGGACCCGCGCCGUAUUAGCUAGUUGGUAAGGUAACGGCUUACCAAGGCAACGAUACGUAGCCGACCUGAGAGGGUGAUCGGCCACACUGGAACUGAGACACGGUCCAGACUCCUACGGGAGGCAGCAGUAGGGAAUCUUCCGCAAUGGGCGAAAGCCUGACGGAGCAACGCCGCGUGAGUGAUGAAGGUCUUCGGAUCGUAAAACUCCGUUAUUAGGGAAGAACAAAUGUGUAAGUAACUGUGCACGUCUUGACGGUACCUAAUCAGAAAGCCACGGCUAACUACGUG